AUGAACGCUGGCGGCGUGCCUAAUACAUGCAAUUCGAGCGAACAGACGAGGAGCUUGCUCCUCUGACGUUGGCGGCGUACGGGUGAGUAACACGUGGAUAACCUACCUAUAAGACUGGGAUAACUUCGGGAAACCGGAGCUACUACCGGAUAAUAUAUUGAACCGCAUGGUUCAAUAGUGAAAGACGGUUUUGCUGUCACUUAUAGAUGGAUCCGCGCCGCAUUAGCUAGUUGGUAAGGUAACGGCUUACCAAGGCAACGAUGCGUAGCCGACCUGAGAGGGUGAUCGGCCACACUGGAACUGCGACACGGUCCAGACUCCUACGGGAGGCAGCAGUAGGGAAUCUUCCGCAAUGGGCGAAAGCCUGACGGAGCAACGCCGCGUGAGUGAUGAAGGUCUUCGGAUCGUAAAACUCUGUUAUUAGGGAAGAACAAAUGUGUAAGUAACUAUGCACGUCUUGACGGUACCUAAUCAGAAAGCCACGGCUAACUACGUG
rnacentral:rRNA from 1 species